rnacentral:tRNA from 1 species
UAGCUCAGCGGUAGAGCGUUUGCCUAGCAAGCACAAGGUCCUGGGUUCGAUCCCCAG